UCAACCUUAGCCGCUAUCAAAUUGGCAGUCAUUUUAUUUCGUUCUUUGGCGAGUUCGCCUUCUGGAUAUCGUCUUCUUCAACUGAAAAGUGGAUUACAUCUUCUCGUGGAUUUCGUCAACUAUUGCUGCAUUCUGGAAUGGAAUUACCUGAUAUUCUUGCCUUGGAUUGAAAUUUGAAUCUCGUGGCCGUAACUGUACAGUCUACUUAAUUAUCCACACUCUACUCACUCUGAACUCUUGUUUUGUCAGUGCAUUGAUGCUCUAAGUUAGAAUGUUGCAGGCUUGCAGCAUCAUAGUUACAGAAAAAACUUGGUCGUCAACGUCAUACGUCAACAUCAAUUUAUUCAAGUGGAAACAUGCCUGCUAAGCCUAAUUUGAAGAAGGUUUCGACCACCAAUCUUCGUCGAGUUGGUACAAGAAAGCGUGUAGCUAAAGUUUUGGACGACUAUGUGGAUGCUACUUUUAGCGAGUCUGAGCCCCCAAAUUUACAUAAAACUCCAGUACCACCGAAUCAAAACAUAAGACCACCGAAGGCCUCAAGGA